rnacentral:tRNA from 1 species
CGACGGCUGGUGCCGUCCCCGGACUUCAAAUCCGGUGGGAGCCUGCCCCGCAAGGCACUCCGGUCGGUUCGAUUCCGACGCCA